rnacentral:rRNA from 1 species
CGGACGGGUGAGUAAUGUCUGGGAAACUGCCCGAUGGAGGGGGAUAACUACUGGAAACGGUAGCUAAUACCGCAUAACGUCGCAAGACCAAAGAGGGGGACCUUCGGGCCUCUUGCCAUCGGAUGUGCCCAGAUGGGAUUAGCUAGUGGUGGGGUAACGGCUCACCUAGGCGACGAUCCCUAGCUGGUCUGAGAGGAUGACCAGCCACACUGGAACUGAGACACGGUCCAG